AUAUUAAAAAAAUAUGAGUAAUUUAAUCAAUUUUUUUUGAAAAAAUACUAUCAGAUAUUUUGUAUUUUAUCGGAUCAAUGGUAUCAGAUUGAAGGUUAAUAGUGACUUUUUGAGUUUUUACCGGCUUAUUUUUAAUUAACGAAUUUUUCAUUGAAUCUGAACCGGAUUAUAUACAAUGUAUCAGAUCUAUAAGUUCGACCAUGAAUCUAGGUCGGAUAUGAAAAUAAAUCUUAAAACUCAAACAUUAUUAUAGAACAACUGUCAUAUUUCAAACAGAUACCAUAUUUUGAAAAGAAAAAAAAACAAAUGAUAAAAACUUAAAAACUCAAUUUUUAUGGUUCUAAACAGAAAAUAAUGGUAGUUUGUAAAUCAGUUUUCGAUCAAUAAAUGAAAAAAAAAAAAACAAAUCCGCGCUUUCUAAGCACGGAUCAAAAUCUAGUAACAAAUUAUUUUUAAUGCAUUUGGUUAAUGCAAUUUGGAUCUUAUUACAUUUUAAUUGAUUCGACAAUAAUACUUGUUUGAUGUCAGAUCUUCUUAUAAAUAUAUUAAGUUUCUUUUUAAGAAAAAAGUUAAUACCAUACCAAAUCAAUUAGUAGUAGAUUAUCCUUUUGAGAUUUCUGAACACAAACUCUAAAAAGAUCAUAUAAUCUUACUUAUUCAUAUUAAUUUUUCUCAAAAUAAUAUAUUUAUUUUCAAACAUUUUUAUAUAAAAUUGAAAGAAUUGGUUCGAGUGAAAUACACUAACCAUAAUUAGGAGGAAAUUCAAAUUAAUAUAGUAAGACCUAAUACAUAUCGAAAGCACGUAAUUUCAUCUUGUAGUUUUUUCAUAAUACUUAUACUAUACAAUUAAAAAACUAAUGAAAUAAAAUGUCUUCUAAAUAUAAACUGUAAAAUAAUUUAAGAUUAUUUAUUUAAAUAUCACAUAUAUUAUUAUACUAGGUGACUUUCUCGUGCGCGUACACGGAUACAAAUAUUUAAAAAAUAAAUAUAUUAUAAAUUAAUUAAUGUUUAAGUUUUUUUUUAAUUAUUUUAUAAUUUAUAUGUAUGAUUUUUGAUUAAUAUUUUGUUAUUUUCAUUAAAUAUGUGCUUUUAUUUUAUAAUAGCUAGUCGAUUUGAUUAUUAUUUGGAUAUAUUAUAACGUAAUUUGACUAUUUUUAUUGUUCUAAAUAGAUAAAAUUUGGUUAAUGAUUUUGGGUAUAAAAUUUUGGAUUGUUUAAGUUACGUACUUUAUAGGUUAUAUUGAGUUACAUAUAUGUUUCUUCAAAUCUAUGUACAACUACUUUUGAUUUUAGUUUAACAAAAUUUGAUGGAUUUAUUUAUUACAGUAUUUCAGUUCUUCAUCGUAAAUAUCUAACUAUACUUUAAUAAAAUUUUAAAAUCUCAUGAACGUAUAGAUAUCUACAAAUAAAUUUCUUUACGUAAAUUUAAAAUAACUGUAUACUUUAAAUGUAUAAAAGAUAAAUUAAAAAUUAUUCUAAAUAAUCUUAACCAUAACAGUUCAUAUUGGUUUAUGUAUUCUUAUUAAAUGUAUAUUAGGUUGUAUAAAUAUAUUAAACUUUUUAGUAAAAAGGAAAAAAAAUAUUAAGCCUUACAGAAACUUUAGUGGUAUAUUAGGUUUGAUUAUAGUUUGUAUAUUUGUAUUUAUAAUGUAUUUUGGUAAAAAGAAUUACAUCUAUAUAAUAUUUUAGUUCAUCAAAGAUAUCCUAGUUUAUGUUAUUUAGAAAUUUUUUAAUAAUAUGGGAAAAUUUUGUUGAUAAAAUUAAAAUAAUGUAUUAUUGGUAAAAGAGAUGUUUAUUUCACAUUAAUAUCAAGAUUGUUUUUUUGUGAACUUUCCUUUUUUUUUAUAAAAUCACAUCAUAUAUAGUAUAAAUUUUCCUAAAAUAUGUUCUUUCUUUUUUUUGUAAAAUAUUUUUUAUUUAGUCUUUGAAUAUUUCAUUUUUAUUAUAUAUUUCAUUUUGAAAAAUAAAUAAAAAUACUAAGAUUGAAAAAUCAAAAACAAAUAAGGAAAAAAGGAAAAUACUUAAAAUAAGGAAAUUUGAAAUAUUAUCAGAUAGAAAGAAAAUAUCAAUAAUGACAAUUAUAAUUAUAAUUAACCAAUUCAUUAAGGGUAUCAUUGUAAUCAACUACUGUGAGAGUUAACGUGAGCGCGACACGUAGUAAACUGAUUUCUCACAUAAUAUUAUAGAGAUUAAUUUGAAAUCCAUGCAAUGAAUGUACAGUAUGUUACAAUCUUUUGAAGAUUUUUAUAUAACCUCUACAAAGAUUUGACCCAUUAAUUUAGAAAGAAAUCUCAAGACAAUAAAUAAAUUAGAUACUAAACAUGUCUUACCCGCUCCAUCGCUUGUAUUUAUAAGCAUGCUCUUGCUCCCUUACUUUGUUCACACCAAGCACCAAAAGAAAAAAUAAAGUAUAGUAAAGCUUACAUCAUACCAACAAAAUGGCAUUAUCAAAGCUUCAAUCUGUAGUCUUACUCGUUAUAUGUUCUCUCCUAGUGACUUCUCAGUCAAGAGGUUUAAGUGAGAAUACUGAGCAUCGUUCAGAUUGUGUUUACAAAGGUCCGUGUAAGACCUAUCAGGAAUGCAAGAGUCGGUGUGGACCGCCGAACUUUCCACCAACGACCAUUGCCUCAUGCCAAGUCAGAGCUCACGGCACCAUUUGUUGUUGUGAAAAGAUUAAUUUUCUCCCAUCAACUAUUAACAAUAUAUAAAAUGGAUCUUUGUUA